UUUGACGUUACCUACAGAAGAAGCACCGGCUAACUCCGUGCCAGCAGCCGCGGUAAUACGGAGGGUGCGAGCGUUAAUCGGAAUUACUGGGCGUAAAGCGCAUGCAGGCGGCCUGUUAAGUCAGAUGUGAAAGCCCCGGGGCGUUAACCUCGGAAUUGCAUUUUGAAACUGGCAGGCUAGAGUCUUGUAGAGGGGGUAGAAUUUCAGGUGUAGCGGUGAAAUGCGUAGAGAUCUGAAGGAAUACCAGUGGCGAAGGCGGCCCCCCUGGACAAAGACUGACGCUCAGAUGCGAAAGCGUGGGGAGCAAACAGGAUUAGAUACCCCUGGUAG
rnacentral:rRNA from 1 species